GACGAACGCUGGCGGCGUGCCUAAUACAUGCAAGUAGAACGCAGUUGCGAACGGGUGAGUAACGCGUCGGUAACUGCCUCAUAGCGGGGGAGAACUAUUUGAAACGAUAGCUAAUACCGCCUACUGUGAGAUGGACCUGCGUUGUAUUAGCUAGUUGUUGAGGUAAAGGCUCACCAAGGCGAAGAUACAUGUGCGACCUGAGAGGGUGUACGGCCACACUGGGAGUGGGACAAGGCCCAGACGCCUACUGGAGGACGAAGUAGGGAAGCUUCGGACAAGGACUGAAGUCUGAACGAGCAACGCCGCGGGAGUGAAUGAGGUUUUCGGAUCGUAAAGCUCUGGUGUUAGAGAAGCGGUAACUAACCAGAAAGGGAUGGCUAACUACGUGCCAGCAGCCGCGGUAAUAC
rnacentral:rRNA from 1 species